UACGGAGGGUGUAAGCGUUAUCCGGAUUCACUGGGUUUAAAGGGUGCGUAGGUGGGUAAGUAAGUCCGUGGUGAAAUCUCUGAGCUUAACUCAGAAACUGCCGUGGAUACUAUUUAUCUUGAAUAUUGUGGAGGUGAGCGGAAUAUGUCAUGUAGCGGUGAAAUGCUUAGAUAUGACAUAGAACACCAAUUGCGAAGGCAGCUCACUACACAAUUAUUGACGCUGAGGCACGAAAGCGUGGGGAUCGAACAGG
rnacentral:rRNA from 1 species